rnacentral:lncRNA from 1 species
UGAAUCAUUAUCAAUAGACUCGAAAGAGAAGAAAUUGACAGUAUCUGGGGAUAUUGAUCCAGUAAAGGUAGUGUGCAAGCUAAGAAAGUUGUGUCAAACUGAAAUAGUAUCGAUUGGACCUCUAAAAGAUGAGAAGAAGGAUUCAACAAAUACAAAUGAAGUUAUUCCACUUCAACACUUUGGAACCUAUCCAUUUUAUUAUCAGAUGACCCCACCACAAUAUUUUCAAAAUUACUACUACGUUUGAUGUGCAUAAUAAGAAAAGAAUCUUUUAUUGAGUUUGAUAAAAUACAUCUUGUGUUUUCCUUGAAUUUUAUUUUUACUUUAUAUGACCUAGAAUUGGAUUAUGCUUGUCUUCCUUCCAAAUCAUGCAAACAGAUCACUAAGAAAUUAAGCGUCACCACCAACCAUUUCUUAUUACAAGAAACAUCAUAAAUAUAUUAAUAAGAUAAAAUAUAUGUAGUGUUUGAAACAUGUAAGUCCAAGCGGUGCUUCAAUUUGUUACUAAUGAGUAACUUGGUCAAUACAUCAACUAUAUUUUCUAAAGUAUGAACUUUUUCAUGUAAUAUCUAUCAAGGUGUAAGUAAAUCUCUAAUGUGUGAUACCUCACAUCAAUAUGUUUGGUUUGGGUAUCCAUACACCUCAAUGUUUGCCAAAUAAAUGGCACAUUGACUAUCACAUUACAAUCAAACUCCACAUUGUUUAACACCCAAUUUUCUCGCCCUUUGCAUCGCUUGUCUCUAUAUAUAAGUUAUACUCAACAUAAAUGAUAAACAAUUUACAACUAGUAUAAUGACCCGUGCCAGCACGGGAAGUAAAAAACUUUUUUGAUCAUAUGUAUAGAUUUUAUAUUAUGUUAUCUUAAAGUUAUAAUUGUCGUUAUAAUUUAAAUUCGAUAUGAAAAAAAUAUCAUCUUAAUUUUGUAUAUAUUUUGAAAUAUCUAAACUUUGCAUAUAUCGAUUAAAUUAUUUGGAUUAUUAUACUUGUACUAAUUAUUUGUAGUAUAAGAUGCACUCAUUGUUAUACUUAGCAUAUGUAAUAUUUUUGCAAAAAUAUGCCGACGUACUGUAUAAUAAUAUUUGUUGACAAAAUGUAUUUUAUUAAUCAUAAAAACUAAAAAAUAUGUAUUUUUUUAUAUAUAAUAGUCAGUAUCAUAUGCAUACACGUAGUCGGCAAAUGCAAAUGUUUAAUUUUUUUACGGGUGUGCAUAAAUAUAGUUUGGGCUACAGAAACGCCGAUUGUUAUUUGUUUUUCAUUUUUACAAAACAAAUGGUCUAAUGUAAAUAUUGUAUUUUAGCGUAACAACGAUGUAAAAAAAAAAGGUUCCGCGGAUUGUUAAACUUGAAAAAUGCAUGAAUUAAUAGUCAAUGGCAGGAGGAUCUGCUUAUAUAGAAAUUGCAUGUCUAUAAUGACUUGUACGCCUUACAAAGAAAUUAAAAAUAAAACGACUUCCAAAUAAUAGGCAACUUUAGUUUUCUAAAUUAUAGCAACAACAAUUCUAAAACAUAACCAAUGAUCAUACUUUUUGAAAAACUUCACGAUACACAACAUUUUUGGUCUCCUUACAAACAUUAUUAUCUUCAUCCAGGAUGAGCAGCUUCAGACCUUUUCUUGAAGUUACUCGAGAGACAGCGACAUAAAGUUGUCCAUGCGUGAACACAGACUUAAGAAGAUAAACCCCCACUCGAGAUAAAGAUUGACUCUGGCUUUUAUUUAUUGUCAUUGCAAAACAAAGCGUCAAUGGAAAUUGCUUGCGCCUGAAUUUUAAGGGUAGUCCUGGAUCAUUCAGAAUAAGAUUCAUCUUGGGAAUGAAUACCCUGGUGCCUUCCCUUUUUCCUGUAAUUACAGUAGCAGCUAUCGUGCUCUUCCCUAGAUGUGUAACUGUCAGCCUCGUACCAUUACACAGUCCAUUGACCUGAUCGAUGUUUCUCAUCAACAUAACUGGACAUCCCACCCUUAGUUUCAACCGGUGAUUUGGAAUUCUAGAGCUCUUAAUACCAUUAAGAAAUUCCGUUGUGAACCACUCGCUCUGGACAUCAGACUUUUUCACCCAAUCGACAAAUUGAAUCAGAGCUUAAAUACUCUUUCUCUUCACCUGGAAUCACUGACAUCAUAUAUUCGUUAACAUGCUCAACCGAAUCAAGCGUUGGUGCGAGUAUUCCCUUUUCUUGGAAAAAAGAGCGGGUCACCAAUGUUAUCAUUCAAAUCGGGAUAUACAAAGUCUAUGAGUGACAUCAACGGAUUUGUUGUGUCGGAUAUGAGCAAAUCUUCGGGAAUUUCUACAUUCAUUUCACCAUUCUCAUCGUUGUCCUCUCCAAUUGAGGGUAUCCACUUGCCAAAAUUAUCAGUUUCUUCCUUCUCUGCAGGUCCCGAAGAUGCACCCAAUCUCAUAUUAACAGUAAGCCUCAACACAUUACAAUAAGUCCAUAUCUUUGAUGAAUUGAUUGAGGCAUCAACAAUAUCCUGCCUCGUUCCUUUUCGGACAACAGACAAUAUAUGCCUGAAAUCACCACUUAAAACUACUGUCAUUCCACCAAAAGGUCUAAACUCGUAUAGGGGAUCAUUCUUGGAUAUGAUAUCAUGCAUUGAUUGGUCAACUGCCUCAAAACACCAUCGGUGCAUCAUUGGAGCCUCAUCCCAAAUUAUCAACUUUGAAGCAUGCACCAGGUCUGCCUAGGACUAUCCUUUUCCAUCUUAAGCGAUGAUGCCUCAUUAAUCUCAACAGGGACUGUUAGCGUCGAGUGCACGGUUCUUCCACCUGGUAAUAGAAGAGUCGAUAUACCGCUGGAUGCAACAUUCAAUACAAUUAACCCCUUCGAUCUAACAGCAACUGACAAUGUUUUCCAUAUAAAGAUUUUUCCAGUACCACUGUAACCAUAUAUGAAAAAGAAACCAUCGUCGUCAAAAUCAACAGACUCCAUGAUCUUGUCAUGCACACAUCUUUGUUCAUCAGCUAUCAUCAGUAACAUAUCAGCGUGUGUCUUUUCCCGUUUAUCUUUGUUGUAAUUUAGCUCAUCAACGAUAAUCUUUUUUUUGAACGUUGGCAUGUCUUCUGUGUUUGCCAUGGGCAUAGAUUUGAAGUCAGUAAGCGACCGUCCAUUUUCCUGAAGCAGCAUUUCAAUUUCAAUCAAACACAUGUUCUUCAAGUCAUCGUCACCGAUACGCAGAUCUGCAUAUUAAAUGUAAAGUCACGAAAUUAAUAUUAACACCUUUGCAUGCAUAUGUGUGCACGUUGAAGAGAAACAAAAAAUAUUAGCUUUAUAUGAGAGUCCUUUAUAUUUAAACAUAUCAGCCUAAAAAAUGUGGAAAAUGCUGAAUGGUAUCGUGGAGUUAGUAACUCUUAGUUUGUUCUUUACUAUAUCCUAAAAAAAGUACCUCUUAACUACUUAAACUACUCUAAUCACCCUUUACUAUAUCCUUAAAAACACACCCCUCGAAAACAACCUUGACAUCAAGGUUGGAAUGUGCUAAAUUUCUUAAUGUGUAAUAGUCUUCAAAUGUAUCACCCUUAUCCCUAAUUUUUAAUAGUGAAGUAUUGUUUUGAUUCUCACUUUAAUUUGAAUCUUUGGUUCCACCAAGAUUCUUUACUCCUAGCUAGGUCCAAAACCUAUUAAUUCUUCUAGUGUCUCUUUUGCUACUUUUAUAAUCUCAUAUGUCAUUUUGUUCCACGUAUCAUUUUUACUUCUAUGUAGCUUCACAGAACCUUCCUUCAAAAUCUUUUGUAGGAAAACACUUUGGUUUUGAUCCUUUAAAUGUCACCAGUUGAUCCUUGUAUACCAAUCGUGCCUCUCAUCUCUGCUCUUAUCUUAACCCUUACAUCGAUAACCAAUACUAUAUGUUGGAUAGUCAAACUCUCUUCAUGUAAAACUUUAAAUUCAAACAAAUAUUUUUGUCAUAAUGUCUAAUAAGAAAUAAAUCUAUUUGAGAACAUGAAAUCCCACUCUUGUUUGUAAUAAAUUUCCUUUUUAUUUUCCUAAAGUAAGAUUAAAAGACAACAAAAAAUCUAGGAUGUAUUUACCCUAUGUAUUUAUGUCCCCGAGGCUAUACCCUCAUUCACACCUUUAAAACUUAUCAAACACUCCUUACAUGCCCACUUAGAUCCCCUCCUAUAAAAACAUUUUCUCCUUGUGGUAUAUCUUGAAUUAAACCUUUUAAAUCCUUCCAAAAUUUAACAUUAGAAUAUUUUUCCAAACCUACCUAAGGUGAGUAAACACUCAUAACAUUAAAGAUGUCUUGUUUCCUUUUAAAAAAAUAAAAUAAAUAAAGAUGUCUUACUAAACUAAAAAUUUGUGGGAUACAAUCAAAUCUCACAUCCUCUUUACAUCCACAAUAUCCUUUUUCAAUUCUUUAUCCACAAUAAUGCCUACACUAUUUCUCGAUCUAACUUUUCCAGUUUAUCAAUGCUUAAACCUUGAACUAUCUAAUUCUUUCGCCUUUUCACCUACCCACAUAGUUUCUUGUUGGCACAUAAAAUUAAUCUUCAUUUUAGUCAUAGCGUCAAUUAUUUCCAUAUAUGUUCAAGUAGGGGUGCCUUUAUUCCAUGUUCUAAAACGGAUCAUACUCUCAUUAACUAACUUAUGUACCCACACUCGUUCAUAAAGAUGUGGAAACCCUUGCAUAUUUUUUAUUGUAUUCAGGCAGCGAUGUAUCCAUCCUUGAUCAUUUAACAUUGUAUUUGAGCUAUACAACACGUUUCUUCUACGCAUUGACCCAGUGUCACACUAUUAUAUACUCGGUCCAUGUCAUAGAGAUUGAAAGUGUUUCUAUUAAAUUCAAGUGUUCAAAUUUUAAUUAGUAGAAUCUAGUCCAAGUAAUUAGUAGAAUCUAGUCCAAGUUUUUAAAUUUUUAUAAUAUAGAAUGUCGUUUAAUUAUAUAUAUUUUUGAGAUUUUUUUUAAAAAGUUACGUGUAAUUAUUUAUUGAUCCAACCUAAUGAAACUUGAUUGCAUCGGGUAAUAAAUUACAAUGAAAACCGACCCAUCCCGUGAUCACCUGUAGGCGUGGAUGCUGAAACAUGUUUGCUUAAUUUUUUUUUUAAAUAGGUAUCAUCAUCCAUAAUUAAUUUUUUUUAUACCCAUGACGAUCAUAAAUUUGUUUAAAUUUAAUUUUUUUAUUGAAUGAUUUUUCUUACAAACGACGAAAGAAUUAGAUGAUUGUAUUUUCUAUGUUAGUGGUCAUUUACUAUUAAUUGAUUUUAUUUCCCUCAUCAAUGGAACUCUCUUUAGUUCAUUAAAAAACAAUGACAUGUUGAAAGUGCUUAUCCCACUUUUACUUAAAAAAAGAGGCAAUUUUUAAGGACAAAAAACAUGAAUAUUUUUAUUUUAUUUUUCAGGAGAAGGGGAUGGUUUACAUGGUAUAAUAUGGGUUAGACUACCCGUUGUACUCUCUUUUAUUAUGUAUUAUUUUUCUGAUUACAACUCCAACAUUUAAAUAUCCGAUUGUCAUUCUUUAUCUUUUGAUAAAAUAUCUUUUUAAAUUCUGAUUUAAUGCACAUUAAGAUUAUAGAAAUCAAUACUUUUUUUAAUAAUUUCUAUAAUUAAAACAAUAAAAAUUGAAAUUCCUGUAAAUAAAAAACUAUAAUAUCGAAUAAGUAAACUUAUUUUGAAUAUUUUCUACAACUAAUUAGUUACCUUAUUUUUAACUUCCAUUUAAAAUUUAAAGUUGACCAUAAUUUUUUUCCGUUAAUUUUAAAUUAGCAACCACAUAAUAUCAAAUAAGUUAUUUGUCCCAAAUUUUUUAUUUCAUACUUUGAUUGAUUCUCUUGAUUCUGAGAACAUGCUUGCUUGGUUUGAUUUUUUUUUUUUAAUGAUGGUUCAUUGAUCUAAUGUUUACCAAGAAUAGUAGAAACAUGAAUUGAAGAAAGGGAUGAGGGUCAAGAUUAAAUACAAAUAAGAAAAUGAGACAUACAUAUUCAUUAUUGAGUGAUUUAAAAUAUUCCUUGAAUUUAUUUUUUGUGAUUGUCUUGAUUGAUGCAUUUCAAAUUUUCUACAAUUUGUUUACCUUUAAUGCAAUUAAUUAUUAAUUAAUGAGUUUUAUUUAUUUAUUUUAAACAAAAGAGGAUUUUUAUUUUUUAUUUUUUUAUGAUGGUUUAAAAGUUAUUCAAUGGUGAUUGAUCAUGGAAAACGGAAAACUUGCUAUAUAUUCUUAAAUGAUUUAAAGAAUACCGUGAAUUUUUAAGAUAUCCUUGAUUGCAACAUGUCAAAGUUUCAACAAUUCAUUUAUAGUACAAAUACAUUUCACAAUUUUACAAUAUGAAUUGUUCACAUAACUUAUACUGACCAAUUUUUUUUAACUAAUGUUAGCAUGUAAGAUGUUGUUUGAUUUGUCUCAAUCAAUAUUUUCAAAUAGGAUUAUCAAAGAAUGUAUUUAUUUUUUAAAAAAGAAAAUAGGAUUUUUUUUAUGAUUAUUUUAAGAUUAUUGACCGUUAAAAAUGAUAAAUAUUGCAUUUUUUUUUACAGUAAUUAAUGCAGAUAUAUCUUGCACAUUAAUACAUAUACAAUUCUACAAAUGUAAAAUUUCUUUGUCAGAGUGAAAAAGAUAUAGUACAAAUAUCAUUCUUUUAAGAUUCACCUCGAAGCAAAUCUUUACCUUCAAAGGACAUUAAUGUUAAUAGAAUUGGUCCAUGAACCCAUCCAUGGAUCAUGCAUACUUGAUUCACCUCGAAGCAAACCUUGAGCCCAUUCUUUUUUUUGUUGAACUUAUAGAUAUAGUACAUUUGAUGUACGAUAAUUUAAAACUAUAACGAUGAACAACAAAAAACAUAUGAAUUUGAUUUAUAUAAUUUUUAUAUAUAUAGAGAUUUUAAAUUGUCUUAUUUUUGGUGAUGUUAAUAUUUUUAAAAUUAUAUUUAUACCAAUAAGAUUCAUAAAAUAUAUUUUAAUUUAUUUAACCUUUUUAAAUAUGCUUAAAAUUAUGUUAGUAUAAAAUUUAUUUAAUAUAUACCAAUUUCUCAAAUAAGUUGACUAUCUCGAAAAAUAAAAUAAAAAUAGUUUACAUAUCAUUAAUGCAUUAAAAUCAUAUGAUUCACCUUCCUUUCACCAAUAAAAGUAUAAGACCUUCCUUUCUCCAAUAAAUGUAUAAGAUAUUCUAUUAAUGGUUUUAAAUUAAUUUAAUCAAAAUACUAUGAUUCACAUUACCUUUUAAAAUUAAUAAUGGUUUUGUGUGAAUAUUAAAUAAUUAAGUUUGUUAAUAUCUCAUCAAACUACUAUUUGUAUAGAUCAAUUUUCGUUUUGUAUAUUCGAUUUAUGCUAAGAAAAAAAGCAACAUCGUUGUGUUAGAAAGAAUGAAGACAAUACAAAUAAAAAAAACUAUAAUAGUGGAUGUCCAACUCGAAUUUUUCAUUCGCACCAAUAACCAAAUUUCUAUAAUAUUCAAUAAGAUCCUAUCAAUAUUAGAAUAUUAAGAAGAAAAAAAUCAUGAUAAACAUAUGACAGUUCUUACAACCUAUUUUUGUAUAUGCACAUCAAAGUUGAAAGUACAACAUAAUCAUUAAUCUAUAGAAACACCACUAUUUUGGAAUGUGAAAUAUCAUUUACAACACAAACUGUAUCUCUAAAACUAACUACAUGGAUAGUCGUGCAAAAGAAUAAUCUUCACUUAAAAACUAAUAAAAUUCAUUCAUAUUAAUCAGAGUGUUUAAUCCAAUUUCUUCUGAGUUCACACCAUAUGUUGAUUCUUCCAUUAGAUUCGUCGUUUGAGAUCCACUUCUGCAACAAUUAAAGAUCGGGUGAAUAAAGAUCAAGAUAAAUGAACAUAGAAAAAAUAUAGAGAAGUUCGUUUAAUUGUUUUUCCAAUUGAAAAAAAUAUCAGAAAUCAAACCAUUUUUAAGAAUUAGAUAUAUGAAAAAAAUGAAUAAAAUGAAAGAGCGAUGAAGUUUUUCAAAAUUUUAUCAUGAAUCUCGAAAUUGUGUGAAAAUGUUGAAAUUAAAAAACAAAAUUUAUAGCAAAAAGACGUGAAAUUUGUGAGUUGUAACUCAAAACAUUGUGAAAAUUGCGAGUCUCAAACACAAUAUUUAUAGUCAACAUGUACCAAGCAAUCAAAAAAAUUAUUCCCUUAAUUUAUGGAUGUAGUAAUUUUUAUCAAUACCCAUUUGAAGACAUGUUUUCUCAUUAAAAAUAUGGGAAAUUCUUGCUUACCCAUUAAUAAAAGGUGGGUAACACUACCCAUUCUUUAUAUAUUAUUAAUAAAAAUAAUAGAAAACAAAUAAAUACUUUGAUUGAUGUCAACUUAGGGUUGUGUUACCCACAUUUUAUUGAUGGGUAAGGAAGUUGUCACCAACAAAACAUAUUUUCUCAAUUAUUAAGAACGGGGAUUAAAUAGUUUGCUAAAAAAUUCCAAAGCAUUAUCCGUCCAUUCACCAAACAUGUAAUGCAUAAAUAUAAACUAUUUAAUAUUAUGUAAUCCAUCAAUACCCAUUUCAUUGAGUUUGCACAUAUUUUCUCUUUAAUUUUUGAAGAUAUAAUAUGACUCUAAGUUACAUUAAUUUGAUAAGGUCCAUUUCUAACACAAUCUAACUUUAUUAAAAAAAACUUAAAUAAGGCAAAAUUAUUAUUAAUAACGAUGACAAUCACAGUUAUUUUACAACUAUUUCAGAUAGUAUUUGAAAUUCGUCAUUUAAGAAUGAAACUAAUUUAAUUUGACCUUUGUGUAAAUAAAAAGACAAACCAUCUAACACAAAUGAUUCAUUUUUUUCUUAUUAUUUUGCAGGGGUUGAAUCAUUAUCAAUAGACUCGAAAGAGAAGAAAUUGAUAGUAUCUGGGGAUAUUGAUCCAGUAAAGGUAGUGUGCAAGCUAAGAAAGUUGUGUCAAACUGAAAUAGUAUCGAUUGGACCUCUAAAAGAUGAGAAGAAGGAUUCAACAAAUACAAAUGAAUUUAUUCCACUUCAACACUUUGGAACCUAUCCAUUUUAUUAUCAGAUGACCCCACCA